UUAGAAUAAAACAAAUAAAAUUGAAAUUAAGAAAAUAGUAAAAGAUAAAAUUGUGCCUAAUCUUCUAGAUAACUUAAUAAAACAAUUUAUUUAUAUAUCGUGUGGGGUGCAAUUAUUCAAUGAUAGAUCUUAUCCUUUUCAAUCAUUUGCCCGUUCAAAUACUAUUAUAUUUAUAAUGAGAUCAAUAAAGUGCAGUAUUAUUUUUAUCUAAUAUAAAAAUUUUAAAAAAUUGAAAAUUUCAAAUACGACUAUAUCUAAAUAUAUAAAAUUCUUUCAUUAACUAAUCUCUAAAUUAGUAAUACUUUGG
rnacentral:misc_RNA from 1 species